GCGAAGGUGGCGGAAUUGGUAGACGCGCUAGCUUCAGGUGUUAGUGUCCUUACGGACGUGGGGGUUCAAAGUCCCCCCCCUCGCACCA
rnacentral:tRNA from 1 species